CAGCCGCCGCGGUAAUACGUAGGUCCCGAGCGUUGUCCGGAUUUAUUGGGCGUAAAGCGAGCGCAGGCGGUUAGAUAAGUCUGAAGUUAAAGGCUGUGGCUUAACCAUAGUACGCUUUGGAAACUGUUUAACUUGAGUGCAGAAGGGGAGAGUAGAAUUCCAUGUGUAGCGGUGAAAUGCGUAGAUAUAUGGAGGAACACCGGUGGCGAAAGCGGCUCUCUGGUCUGUAACUGACGCUGGGGCUCGAAAGCGUGGGGAGCGAACAGGAUUAGAUACCCCCGUAGUCCCUGUCUCUUAUACC
rnacentral:rRNA from 1 species